rfam:Ixodes scapularis strain Wikel colony gcontig_1107728898650, whole genome shotgun sequence.
GUCAGGAUGGCCGAGCGGUCUAAGGCGCUGCGUUCAGGUCGCAGUCCGGUCUUCCGGGCGCGGGUUCGAAUCCCACUUCUGACA